GGAGGUCCGAACCCACGAGCGUUGAAAAGCUCGGGGAUGACUUGUGGGUAGCGGUGAAAUUCCAAUCGAGCCCGGAGAUAGCUGGUUCUCCCCGAAAUAGCUUUAGGGCUAGCCUCAAGGUGAGAGAUACGGAGGUAGAGCACUGAAUGUCCUAGGGGGUAUUGCACCUACCGAAGACUAUCAAACUCCGAAUGCCGUCAUCUUAUACUUGGGAGUCAGACUGUGGGUGAUAAGAUUCAUAGUCGAAAGGGCAACAGCCCAGAUCGUCAGCUAAGGUCCCUAAAUGUAAGUUAAGUGGUAAAGGAUGUGGGAUUGCACAGACAACCAGGAUGUUGGCUUAGAAGCAGCCACUCAUUCAAAGAGUGCGUAAUAGCUCACUGGUCGAGUGAUCCUGCGCCGAAGAUUUCCGGGGCUAAAACUUACUACCGAAGCUACGGCAUCAGUAAUGAUGGGUAGGGGAGCUUCCCAUACGGGUUGAAGCAUGACCGUAAGGACAUGUGGACAGUAUGGGAGUGAGAAUGUUGGCAUGAGUAGCGAGAUGUGGGUGAGAAUCCCACAGGCCGUAAACCCAAGGUGUCCAGGGGAAGGUUCGUCCGCCCUGGGUUAGUCGGGACCUAAGCUGAGGCCGAAAGGCGUAGGUGAUGGACAACAGGUUGAUAUUCCUGUACUACCGAUAACCGUUUGAGAGAUGGGAUGACACAGUAGGAUAAGCUAAGCACACUGUUGGUUAUGUGUGCCCAAGCAUUGAGGCAGUCAAAGUAGGCAAAUCCGCUUUGAUAAUGCUGGGAUGUGAUGGGGAGCGAAAUUUAGUAGCGAA
rnacentral:rRNA from 1 species